CAUCUGUGUAUCAAGUAAAGUGUGGAGGGAAUGCAGUAAAGUUGUUAUAAGCAAGACCUCGUACUAAUAAAUUAGCUUUCCAAGUCUUUGUAAAGAACCUUUUUUAACUAUUAAGUAAUGCUGCCCAUAUUUGGAGAUGCUAUUAAGACCUUGAACACACAUCCUGCGGAGUCUUGGAAAGAAAAAUGAUUAACAUCGAUGGAACAAUUGGCAAACAAUAUAUAUAGGAGAUAGAAGCAGAUAACAUUUGUAAUCAACUACAAUUUAUGCUACAUAUUAUUUGGCUUAAAACUAAGUAAUAAUACUUUCCUAAGGUCACCCCAUUUCGUUUAAGACAACAGACAAACCUAACAUUCGCAUGGAAUUUUUUAACAGCAGGCGGACAUUUCUCAAAUAAAAAAA